CCUACGGGCGACAGCAGUGGGGAAUAUUGCACAAUGGGCGAAAGCCUGAUGCAGCAACGCCGCGUGAAGGAAGAAGGGUUUCGGCUGGUAAACUUCUAUCAACAGGGACGAAAGAAAUGACGGUACCUGAAUAAGAAGCCCCGGCUAACUACGUGCUAGCAGCAGCGGUAAUACGUAGGGGGCAAGCGUUAUCCGGAAUUACUGGGUGUAAGGGGUGAGUAGGUGGCAUGGUAAGCCAGAUGUGAAAGCCUUGGGCUUAACGCGAGAAUUGCAUUUGGAACUAUCAAGCUAGAGUACAGGAGAGGAAGGCGGAAUGCCUAGUGUAGCGGUGAAAUGCGUAGAUAUUAGAAAGAACACCGAUGGCGAAGGCAGCUUUCGAGACUGAAACUGACGCUGAGGCACGAAAGCGUGGGGAGCGAACAGGAUUAGAUACCCCAGUAGUC
rnacentral:rRNA from 1 species